ensembl:lncRNA LINC00345 long intergenic non-protein coding RNA 345
AGGCCUCGUGGGCCCUCACAGAAAUGGCAGGGCAUUGGGACAAGCUGCUCCGGCUGCGCAGGCCGAAAGGUCCCUCGAGCAUCCAGAAAGCUCGCCUGACCCUUAUAGGCGAGGUGAGGCCCCCAACUCAUAUCCUGGGGAAACCAUGGAGGGGGAAUUCGGUUUCCACAGGCGAAGUCAACCGAAACGGCCCGCCAUGUUGAAGCCUGAGCAGAGCUCCCGUCAGGCCCCGCCCCCCGGCGCCAGGCUCGCUGGGCAGCGCCUCCUCCCGGAGGUCCCUCCGCUGGUUCCUUCAUUCCGCUGGUUCCUUCAUUUCGCUGAAUGGUUCCUGCUUCUCCACGCCAAUGACAUGGUGAGAGAAUACAGGGGGAGCUGAAGACAAACAACAUAAACUUAUGUUUGCAAAGCACCUUUUACUCUGUGAAAUAAAGUGAGUGCAAGCAGUAAAUGGAACAACAAGCUUUCAGAGUCACUGCAGGGCAAGAGCUGGGGAAGGAAGAGCUGGCUGGUCAGGGAGGAUGCACUGGAGAGAAAAACCAUCACUCAAUUGGCUAGGACAUUCCAGGACAUCAGGGAGACCACACAACAGCCAGAGUGUCUCUUCUCCUCCAAAUGAACGCAACACCUCUCCAGCAAGGGCACAGAACUGGGCUGAGGCUGAGUAUUGCUGAGGCAAUACCGUUUAGAACAUAGGCACGGGUAAGGAUUUCAUGACAAAAACACCAAAAGCAAUUGCAACCAAAGCAAAAAUUGAUAAAUGGGAUCUAAUUGAACCUAAGAGCUUCUGCAUAGCAAAAGAAACUAUCAUCGGAGUGAACAGACAGCAUACAGAAUGGGAGAAAAUUUUUGCAAUCUGUCUGUCUGACAAAGGCCUAAUAUCCAGAAUCUAUAAGGAACUUAAACAAAUUUACAAGAAAAAAAACAACCCCAUUAAAAAGUAGGCAAAGAACAUAAACACACACUUCUCAAAAGAAGGCAUUCAUGUGGCCAACAAACAUAUGGAAAAAAAAAGCUUAACAUCACUGAUCUUUAGAGAAAGGCAAAUCAAAACCACAAUGAGAUAUCAUCUCAUGCCAGUCAGAAUGGCAAUUAUUAAGAAGUCCAGAAACAACAGAUACUGGCAAGGUUGCAGAGAAAAAGGAAAGCUUUUACACUGUCGAUGGGAAUGUAAAUUAGUUCAACCCUUGUGGAAGACAGUAUGGCAAUUCCUCAAAGAUCUAAAGGCAGGAAUAGCAUUUGACGCAGCAAUCCCAUUACUGGAUAUAUACCCAAAGGAAUAUAAAUCAUUCUGUUAUAAAUAUACAUGCACCUGUAUGUUUAUUGCAACACUAUUCACAAUAGCAAAGACAUGGAAUCAACCCAAAUGCCUAUGAAUGAUAAACUGGAUAAAGACAAUGUGGUACACAUACACCAUGGAAUACUAUGCAGCCAUAAAAGGGAAGGAGAUCAUGUCCUUUGUAGGGACACAGAUGGAGCUGGAAGCUGUUAUCUUCAGCAAACUAAUAGAGGAACAGAAAACAAAACAACACAUGUUCUCACUUAUAAGUGGGCGCUGAAUGAUGAGAUCACAUGGACACAUGGCAGGGAAGAAAACACACUGAGGCCUGUUGCGGGGAGGGCCUGAUGGGGGGAGGGAGAGCAUCAGGAAGAACAGAUAAUGGAUGCUGGGCUUAAUACCAAGGUGAUGGGUUGAUCUGUGCAGCAAACCACCAUGGCACACAUUUACCAAUGUAACAAAACUGCACAUCCUGCACAUGUACUCCAGAACUUAAAAUAAAAGUUGAAGGAAACAAAAACAAAAAUGA